ACGGGUGCGUAACGCGUGGGAAUCUGCCCUUUGGUUCGGAAUAACAGCUGGAAACGGCUGCUAAUACCGGAUGAUGACGAGAGUCCAAAGAUUUAUCGCCAGAGGAUGAGCCCGCGUUGGAUUAGGUAGUUGGUGGGGUAAAGGCCUACCAAGCCGACGAUCCAUAGCUGGUCUGAGAGGAUGAUCAGCCACACUGGGACUGAGACACGGCCCAGACUCCUACGGGAGGCAGCAGUGGGGAAUAUUGGACAAUGGGCGAAAGCCUGAUCCAGCAAUGCCGCGUGAGUGAUGAAGGCCCUAGGGUUGUAAAGCUCUUUUACCCGGGAAGAUAAUGACUGUACCGGGAGAAUAAGCCCCGGCUAACUCCGUGCCAGCAGCCGCGGUAAUACGGAGGGGGCUAGCGUUGUUCGGAAUUACUGGGCGUAAAGCGCACGUAGGCGGCUUUGUAAGUCAGAGGUGAAAGCCUGGAGCUCAACUCCAGAACUGCCUUUGAGACUGCAUCGCUUGAAUCCAGGAGAGGUCAGUGGAAUUCCGAGUGUAGAGGUGAAAUUCGUAGA
rnacentral:rRNA from 1 species